UUGCCUUAGUAACUGCGAGUGAAGCGGCAAGAGCUCAAAUUUGAAAUCUGGCACCUUCGGUGUCCGAGUUGUAAUUUGUAGAAGCAUCUUUUGGAUUGGUCCUUGCAUAUGUUCCUUGGAACAGGACAUCAUAGAGGGUGAGAAUCCCGUUCAUGGUGGGGAAUCCAAUUCUUUGUAAAGUGCUUUCGAAGAGUCGAGUUGUUUGGGAAUGCAGCUCUAAGUGGGUGGUAAAUUCCAUCUAAAGCUAAAUAUUGGCGAGAGACCGAUAGCGAACAAGUACAGUGAUGGAAAGAUGAAAAGAACUCCGAAAGGAGAGUGAAAAAGGACGUGAAAUUGUUGAAAGGGAAGUGCUUGAGAUCAGUCUUAAGGUUUAGUGAUCAGUCUUCCUUUUGGUUGGUGCACUCACUAUUUCUUAGGCCAACAUCAGUUUUCGCGGCAGGAUAAUGACAUUGGAAUGUGGCUCUUUCGGGAGUGUUAUAGCCUUUGUUGAUACUGCCUGCUUAGACUGAGGACCGCGCUUUUGCUAGGAUGUUGGCAUAAUGAUCUUAAGCAGC
rnacentral:rRNA from 1 species